ACGCUCGACACCUACGUGAGGCAGCAGUGGGGAAUAUUGCACAAUGGGGGAAACCCUGAUGCAGCGACGCCGCGUGAGCGAAGAAGUAUUUCGGUAUGUAAAGCUCUAUCAGCAGGGAAGAAGAAAGACGGUACCUGACUAAGAAGCCCCGGCUAACUACGUGUCAGCAGCCGCGGUAAUCUGAGCGGGCUGGCAAGGC
rnacentral:rRNA from 1 species